rnacentral:sRNA from 1 species
AAAGUAUAUUAGUUUAAAAAAAAGGUAUCUUGCUUUAAAGCAGGCCUCUAAAGACAGAGACAUUUCAUUUAACACUGGGAAUUGUUCAAGCAAUUCAAAGCUGAGCUAAGUACACGCCGGCGCUUACGUCCCAUUCAUUCAUAUAUAUAUAUACAUUCAUAUAAAUGUAAAGUAUUAUCGAUACUUUACACGGAAGCAGCAGCACCGGCAUCGGUGGCUGCCGGCAGACGAGGCGGAAACCUCCGUAGCCGGCGCUGUGUCGUCCAAGAGAAAACCAAACGAGAUCAUAUACAAAGAUUCUUCAACCCUUCUGAAAGGUACUCAGUCUUCCAAUCCGCACAAUGAUUACUGCCAGCAUUUUGUGGACACUGGUCAAAGGCCACAGAAUUUUAUACGCGACGUCGGACUGGCCGAUCGCUUCGAGGAAUAUCCGAAACUGCGUGAGCUGAUUAAGCUGAUAAAUUCAUCCAAGACACUGCAUCGGCGCCCAUGUAUCUGAAAGCAGAUAUGAAAACCUUGGGCAGUAAAUUUGACGUUAUUCUCAUCGAGCCACCGCUUGAGGAAUAUGCUCGAGUAGCACCCGCUGUUGCGACAGUGGGCGGAGCACAACGGGUUUUCUGGAACUGGGAUGAUAUACUGAAUAUGGAUGUUGGCGAAAUAGCUGAACAUUGUUCGUUUGUCGUUCUGCGGUCAGGUUCAUCGGAGGGUUUGGGUCAUCAUUGAGGCUUUCAUCGUUACGAGAACAUCUACUGGAUAUGCAAUAACAACAAGAAGCCUGGUUAGUAAUCCAACGCACUAAGGAAAGGAACACUGAUGGGCAACGGCGUUGCCGUAUCCGAGGGAGCGCAGAACAGAUGCUUUGAGAAACCUAUCUUUCAUAUCAUUUAUUGAACAUUUUUUUUUUUUGCCUGGAUCAUCGACGUUUCCAUAUGUUUGGUCUCUAUUCAAGCAUACAGCCCAGCUGGCGAAAUGCCAGACGUUAUGUACACUUUCUAAAGGUCAUACCUCCAUAUC